UACGUAGGGUGCAAGCGUUGUCCGGAAUUAUUGGGCGUAAAGCGUGCGCAGGCGGCUUUGCAAGACAGAUGUGAAAGCCCCGGGCUCAACCUGGGAACUGCAUUUGGGACUGCAAGGCUGGAGUACGGCAGAGGGAGGUGGAAUUCCACGUGUAGCAGUGAAAUGCGUAGAGAUGUGGAGGAACACCGAUGGCGAAGGCAGCCCCCUGGGCUAACACUGACGCUCAUGCACGAAAGCGUGGGGAGCAAACAGG
rnacentral:rRNA from 1 species